rnacentral:tRNA from 1 species
UGAGGCUUCGCCAAGCGGUUAAGGCACCGGGUUUUGACCCCGGCAGAGAAGGAACGCUCUUUACGCUGGUUCGAAUCCAGCAGCCUCAG